rnacentral:rRNA from 1 species
UGGGGGAUAUUGCACAAUGGAGGAAACUCUGAUGCAGCAACGCCGCGUGAGGGAAGACGGUUUUCGGAUUGUAAACCUCUGUCCUUGGUGAAGAUAAUGACGGUAGCCAAGGAGGAAGCUCCGGCUAACUACGUGCCAGCAGCCGCGGUAAUACGUAGGGAGCAAGCGUUGUCCGGAUUUACUGGGUGUAAAGGGUGCGUAGGCGGCUUUACAAGUCAGGCGUGAAAUAUAUGGGCUUAACCCAUAGACUGCGUUUGAAACUGUAGAGCUUGAGUGAAGUAGAGGUAGGCGGAAUUCCCGGUGUAGCGGUGAAAUGCGUAGAGAUCGGGAGGAACACCAGUGGCGAAGGCGGCCUACUGGGCUUUAACUGACGCUGAGGCACGAAAGCAUGGGUAGCAAACA